UCAGCUCGUGUCGUGAGAUGUUCGGGUUAAGUCCCGCAACGAGCGCAACCCUCGCCUCUAGUUGCCAGCAUCGGUUGGGCACUCUAGAGGGACUGCCGGCGACAAGUCGGAGGAAGGUGGGGAUGACGUCAAAUCAUCAUGCCCCUUAUGACCUGGGCUACACACGUGCUACAAUGGGCGGUACAAAGGGCUGCGAACCCGCGAGGGGGAGCGAAUCCCAAAAAGCCGCUCUCAGUUCGGAUUGCAUGCUGCAACUCGCCUGCAUGAAGCCGGAAUCGCUAGUAAUCGCGGAUCAGCAUGCCGCGGUGAAUACGUUCCCGGGCCUU
rnacentral:rRNA from 1 species